UACGUAGGCAGCAAGCGUUGUUCGGAGUUACUGGGCGUAAAGGGUGCGUAGGCGGUUGUUUAAGUUUGGUGUGAAAUCUCCCGGCUCAACUGGGAGGGUGCGCCGAAUACUGAAUGACUAGAGUGCGGGAGAGGAGAGUGGAAUUCCUGGUGUAGCGGUGAAAUGCGUAGAUAUCGGGAGGAACACCUGUGGCGAAGGCGGCCACCUGGACAACAACUGACGCUGAGACGCGAAAGCGUGGGUAGCAAACAGG
rnacentral:rRNA from 1 species